CCAGCCCAGCGCCAACGGCGGGGCUGCCCUGAGUCAGCCAGCAAGCAGCUUUGGAGUAAUAAAUCCUUCCCAACCUGCGUUGUUUGACUCUCCGAGCAUCUCCUAACUCAUCUUCUCUCCUUUGCUUUCAGAAGAUGCUCUGCUGGAAGCCGCGAGGAUCAACAACGUUUCGGAAGUCAACAGGUUACUGCAGGAGGGCACAGACGUGAACACGAGGCACCGGCUGGGCUGGACGGCUCUGAUGGUGGCGGCCAUCAGCAGGAAUUCCAGCGUGGUGAAGGCUCUGCUGGCGGCCAACGCAGAUCCCAACCUCGGGGACGACUUCAGCAGCGUCUAUGAGACCGCCAAGGAGAAAGGCCUCCAUUCUUUGGAAGGAAAUGACGACAGAUAAAUAAGCGGAGCGCGCUCGGCCAGGUCUCUCGGAGCGAAGAGGCGGGGAAGGGAAGGAGGCCGGGUGUUAAUUGAUCUCCUGGAGGUACUGCGGUUCGUUAGCGGAGGCGUUGGGCUGGAGCAGCAUCAGGUGUGCACCGCGGCGCUCUCUGGGCUCCGCUUCUCGGGUCUUCUCAGUUCUUUGGAGGGGGCGUAGAGGCUGCAGUUCAGAGCACCGCCGUCCGCACCCGUUGGCCUUCCUGAUGCUCCGUCUUCCAAGAGGAGCAGUCCCUGACAGAGGGCUUUUCAUCCAGCAGCCGGCAUUGCCGUUCCCUACCACCACGGAGUCAUUAAGGUUGGAAAAGACCGCUUAGAUCUCUAUUAGCUUCAGCCGCCAACCAUCCGUGCCAUGCUUGCUCGUAGAAUCAAAGCCUCGUUAAGGUUGGAAAUGACCUCUAAGGUCGUCACAUCCAACCACCAACCAUCCACACCAUGUUGGUUCAUUGAAUCAAAGACUCAUUAGGGUUGGAAAUGACCUCUAAGAUCGUCACGUCCAACCACCAACCAUCCCCACCAUGUUUGCUCACAGAAUCAAAGCGUCAUUAAGGGUGGAAAUGACCUCUAAGAGCAUCAGGUCCCACC
rnacentral:lncRNA from 7 species